ACACGACUACAUUAGAUACCCGGGUAGUCCUAGCCGUAAACGAUACUCGCUAGGUGUCGGCCACGGUGCGACCGUUGUCGGUGCCGUAGGGAAGCCGUGAAGCGAGCCACCUGGGAAGUACGGCCGCAAGGCUGAAACUUAAAGGAAUUGGCGGGGGAGCACCGCAACGGGAGGAGCGUGCGGUUCAAUUGGAUUCAACACCGGACAACUCACCAGGAGCGACGGUUACAUGAAGGCCAGGCUGAUGACCUUGCCUGAUUUUCCG
rnacentral:rRNA from 1 species